ACAAACGCUGGCGGCGUGCUUCACACAUGCAAGUCGAACGGGAUUUAGUAGACAGAAGCCUCGGCUAAAGAUUACUAAUGAGAGUGGCGAACGGGUGAGUAACGCGUGAGCAACCUGCCUAUGACAGUGGGAUAGCCUCGGGAAACCGGGAUUAAUACCGCAUAAAAUCGUAGAAACACAUGUUUUAACGGUCAAAGAUUUAUCGGUCAUAGAUGGGCUCGCGUCUGAUUAGCUAGUUGGUGAGAUAACAGCCCACCAAGGCGACGAUCAGUAGCCGGUCUGAGAGGAUGAACGGCCACAUUGGAACUGAGACACGGUCCAAACUCCUACGGGAGGCAGCAGUGGGGAAUAUUGCACAAUGGGGGAAACCCUGAUGCAGCGACGCCGCGUGAACGAAGAAGGUAUUCGUAUCGUAAAGUUCUGUCCUAUGGGAAGAUAAUGACAGUACCAUAGAAGAAAGCUCCGGCUAAAUACGUG
rnacentral:rRNA from 1 species